UGUCGUGAUUUUUAAAUGUCAUCCUCAUCCGGGAGAUAUUGACGUCAUCAACCUGUGAGCUUGCGCCUGCUACGUCAUUAUUAAGCGACGUCCAUUUUGUAAACAGCAAGACUGGUGUUGUCAAUGCGAAUAUGGAUAAUCUCGUCAAAGUGCACGGUGGUGGUGCCAACUACGAUUCAGAUUUCAGUGACGAUGAGAAACAAGGAGAGACCUCGGAAAGCAGACUUAAAAGGAAACACGAAGAAGAAAUUUUACAGAAACCAUUUGGGAAAGAUCGACACACUCAGGUGGCUCACCGCACUUUUCACUCCAAUGAACUGGACAGAGAGGAAGCGAGGAAUAGAAGAGCCCACUUGAUCUCACUGACUGCCUUUGAGCGCCAUAAGAAGUUUGUCGGCGACUACAUACUCUAUUAUGGAGGAAAUAUGGCCGACUUCAAACGCUCCGCAGCUAAAGAUAAAACGGACUCAGACGUCCUACGUGAGAAUCAUCGCUUCCUCUGGAGGGACGAAGAUGAAGAGGACAUGACGUGGGAGAAAGAAUUGGCAAAGAAGUAUUACGACAAGCUGUUUAAGGAGUACUGCAUAGCGGAUCUCAGUCGAUACAAAGAAAACAAGUUUGGAUUCCGCUGGAGGACAGAGGGCGAGGUUGUCUCGGGCAAAGAAGGCAGGCUUGCCUGUGCGCGGAUGAUUGUACGCGAAUUGGACGACAUCUCCUCCUCUCCCUCCCACGGGUCAGUUCCAGUGUGGGAACAAACGCUGCGAGGAGCAGGAAGGCCUAAAAAGCUGGGAGGUGAAUUUUGCCUAUGUGGAGCAGGGCGAGAAGAGGAACGCGCUGGUCAAACUGCGACUUUGCCCGGAAUGUUCUUUCAGACUCAACUACCACCACAAACGGAAAGAGGUGAAAGCAAAGAAGACGCUCAGGAAUGUACCGGAAGAGAACCAGGAGCCGUCGCGAAAAAAACAGAAAAAGACAAAGAAGAGCUCGUCGUCACGCUCCAAGAAGCACAAACGCCGGCGGCGCAGGGAUCGAUCCGGCUCCUCCAGCGGCUCGGAGGAGUCGCAGAGCAAAGACUCUGAACCAGAGGGCGAGCAAGAGUGUCAGAGCGAGUCGGACCACUGGCGAGGACCCGCCCCGGCUGUGGAGGAAAAGUCAAGGGAGGAAGAAUUUGACGACUACUUCGAAGACUUAUUCCUCUAAACGGAGACGUG